rnacentral:rRNA from 1 species
GAUGAACGCUGGCGGCGUGCCUAAUACAUGCAAGUCGAGCGAAUGGAUUAAGAGCUUGCUCUUAUGAAGUUAGCGGCGGACGGGUGAGUAACACGUGGGUAACCUGCCCAUAAGACUGGGAUAACUCCGGGAAACCGGGGCUAAUACCGGAUAACAUUUUGAACCGCAUGUUCGAAAUUGAAAGGCGGCUUCGGCUGUCACUUAUGGAUGGACCCGCGUCGCAUUAGCUAGUUGGUGAGGUAACGGCUCACCAAGGCAACGAUGCGUAGCCGACCUGAGAGGGUGAUCGGCCACACUGGGACUGAGACACGGCCCAGACUCCUACGGGAGGCAGCAGUAGGGAAUCUUCCGCAAUGGACGAAAGUCUGACGGAGCAACGCCGCGUGAGUGAUGAAGGCUUUCGGGUCGUAAAGCUCUGUUGUUAGGGAAGAACAAGUGCUAGUUGAAUAAGCUGGCACCUUGACGGUACCUAACCAGAAGGCCACGGCUAACUACGUGCCAGCCGCCGCAGUAA